CUGUUAUGUGUCACUGCCAAACAACAUCCCAAUAUGUGUUCAGCAACAUCUCCUGAGUACAGUGAUACCACCCAUGCAUUGGUUUGCUGGGUUGUUUGGGGGCUAAAAGGCCACGAUAGAGACUUGUGCAUGUCAGUUUUUCAACUUGAUAUAUAGGUAUUCUUCAGUUUGGCGUAUUUUUGCAUCUCCCAGUUAAUGUUACCAUCAUGAAAGUAUAUAUUUUUAUAAAGUAGACAUGCCAGAGUAUUGUUUAUGGGGUGUUUUUACAUCCUUCCCCAUUGUGCUAAGAGAAUUUCAGAGAAAGUGCAUGAUGGCAAUUUUUGAAUUCUGCUUUUUGAUUUUAGCCAGCUGGUUAUAUGAUACUGCCA